AUUCUCUGGUUUCUCUUCAGAUCAUACACAUCUUUCACUAAAGAUUUCCAUGUAGAGGAACAGUUAAGAGUUUUUUAACAGUUCAUGAAAAGGCAAAUUAUAAGUUAAUUG
ensembl:snRNA U5 U5 spliceosomal RNA